rnacentral:piRNA from 1 species
UGACAGAACCCUCUCUGACCCAGCAGAUAGC